rnacentral:rRNA from 1 species
GAUGAACGCUGGCGGCGUGCCUAAUACAUGCAAGUCGAGCGAACAGACGAGGAGCUUGCUCCUCUGACGUUAGCGGCGGACGGGUGAGUAACACGUGGAUAACCUACCUAUAAGACUGGGAUAACUUCGGGAAACCGGAGCUAAUACCGGAUAAUAUAUUGAACCGCAUGGUUCAAUAGUGAAAGACGGUUUUGCUGUCACUUAUAGAUGGAUCCGCGCCGCAUUAGCUAGUUGGUAAGGUAACGGCUUACCAAGGCAACGAGGCGGAGCCGACCUGAGAGGGUGAUCGGCCACACUGGAACUGAGCCGCGCUCCAGACUCCUACGGGAGGCCGCAGUCGGGAAUCUUCCGCAAUGGGCGAAAGCCUGACGGAGCAACGCCGCGUGAGUGAUGAAGGUCUUCGGAUCGUAAAACUCUGUUAUUAGGGAAGAACAAAUGUGUAAGUAACUAUGCCCGUCUUGACGGUACCUAAUCAGAAAGCCACGGCUAACUACGUG